rnacentral:rRNA from 1 species
AGAGUUUGAUCAUGGCUCAGGAUGAACGCUGGCGGCGUGCUUAACACAUGCAAGUCGAGCGAAGCGUUUCUGCGGAAUUUUUCGGAAGGAAGCGGGAAUGACUUAGCGGCGGACGGGUGAGUAACGCGUGGGCAACCUGCCUCGUACAGGGGGAUAACAGUUAGAAAUGACUGCUAAAACCGCAUAAGCGCACAGCAGCGCAUGCUGCAGUGUGAAAAACUCCGGCGGUACGGGAUGGGCCCGCGUCUGAUUAGCUUGUUGGCGGGGUAACGGCCCACCAAGGCAGCGAUCAGUAGCCGAUCUGAGAGGAUGGCCGGCCACAUUGGGACUGAGACACGGCCCAAACUCCUACGGGAGGCAGCAGUGGGGAAUAUUGCACAAUGGGGGAAACCCUGAUGCAGCAACGCCGCGUGAGUGAAGAAGUAUUUCGGUAUGUAAAGCUCUAUCAGCAGGGAAGAGAAUGACGGUACCUGACUAAGAAGCCCCGGCUAACUACGUGCC